ensembl:lncRNA
CUAAUGGGUCUUUUGUGUUUGUAGAAAAUGUUUCAGAUUUUUGAGUUCAGCUCAUUGAAAAUGGGAGCAAAAAUAAAAGUGUUGUGUUUAUAUUUUUGUUCAGUGUAGUUUAUAAAGAUCCUGCUUACAAGCAAGUGGUGAGACUGAGAAUGGAGAAAAACAACAAUCAGGAUCUGAAUGACCCUGCAGUGAUGGCAGCCAUGCUGGAACAGAUGUUGCUGGUGAUUAAUUUUUUUUCACACAACACCAGAACGACUGCCGAUGUCCGUAAGCUUCGGUUGACUUCUAGCUCGCCCUACAAAAGAGGAGCAAGAAUAAAGGGAGCUUCUAAGUUAUUUAAAGGCUGCAUGAAAAUCCUCUGCAGCUUAGUGCAGAACAAACAGUUCAAACAGAAGCUGAAGAAUAACGGCGUAAAAGGAGACAUCAAACUGAGCUGGAGGAAGCAGUCAGACGGGGAGGUCUUCCACAGCGAUGAAAAGGAAACAAAGAAGAACACAGCCUGUAAAAAUUAGUUUUGCAGGUUGUGUUCAUGUAUUGUUUGGUGUGGGUGGUUCUUUUGUUUUUGUUUUUUUUGUAGAGCACAAUAUAGUAAUAAACGUGUUUGUGUUCUAGUUUUACUGUUAUUCUGCAUUUAGGAGUUUGAUUUUCUCGUGUAUUUCUGGAUUCAUCUUUUGAUAUCUUUAUUCUGGUAGACUGUAGUAGUAAAGUUUACAGUAGUAAACUUUGAUUAUUAGGACAUCACUCAGACUUUUAGUUUUAUUUUCAUGUUAUGGUUAUUGAUGAGUUUAGUUCCUGUGUUCUGGUUUAUGUCUGUUAGUAGGAGUUCUUAGUUUCUUUCAUGUAUCUGUGACUGUUCCUCUUGUGUCUGUGUAAAUAUCUCAGCACUUCGGUGUUCUCUACUCAGGCAUCUUAUCGAGGCCACGUCCACACUAAUACGUUUUCAUUUGAAAACGUAUCUUUUUCUCUCCGUUUUGGCCUUCCGUCCACACUGACACGCGUUUUUGGACUAGGAAAACGGAGCUUUUUGAAAACGCUCUCCAAAGUGGAUACAUUUGAAAACUGCGUUUUUGCGUCGCAGUGUGAAAAGCGAAAACGGAGGCUUUCGGAAAUGAAGACGCAACUUUGUACUUUUGUGUUACUCACAGCAAUAACUCCACCUAAUUAUCAGUCCAUUUUUUAAAAAGUGCUUUUCCUUGACAUUUUACUGCGAUGUUUCAAAGUCGUGGCAAAAUAAACAUCGGACUGAAAUGACGCAGGUCAAAUCGUCUUACGUUUCACACAUGCGCAGUACAGGAAGGUAGCGUUUUCAGUCGUUUCCGUGUGGUUGAACAGCUGUUCGGAAACGACUGAAAACGAUAGAGUGGACGCGUUUUCAGACAAAAAUGCCGUUUUCAAAUGUAUCCAGAUGAGUGAGGAUGUAGCCUAAGUGUUAGUAUUCAGUCUGUGUUACUUCUCUUGUUUAUUUCCUGUUUACAAUUGAUUUUUUUUUUCAUGUUUCAUGUUAGUUUUACUUCCUGCUGUUUGGUUAGUCUGACUGUAUUCAAAAUCAGCUUUACUGUCAAAAACCAUGCGUACAGGUCAUACACAGGAAUUUGAAACUGCAAAGCUUCCACAGCCCUCAGUGUACACUAAAACAAUAUAGAGAUAAAAAUAAAAUAAAG